UACGUAGGGUGCGAGCGUUAAUCGGAAUUACUGGGCGUAAAGCGUGCGCAGGCGGUUUUGUAAGCCAGAUGUGAAAUCCCCGAGCUUAACUUGGGAACUGCAUUUGGGACUGCAAGGCUAGAGUACGGCAGAGGGGGGUAGAAUUCCUGGUGUAGCAGUGAAAUGCGUAGAUAUCAGGAGGAAUACCGAUGGCGAAGGCAGCCCCCUGGGUCGAUACUGACGCUCAUGCACGAAAGCGUGGGAAGCAAACAGG
rnacentral:rRNA from 1 species